rnacentral:ncRNA from 1 species
GCACCAGUGAAGAAAAAUCAGCUAAGACAGGUUGCUUAUUUGGCCAAAGACUGGGUAGAUAAAGGGGAGAACAAAGAUGGGAAAAGAAAUGUCAUGAAACAGGACAGGGCAGCAUUGCAUUCCUGACAUCACUUUUUGAUGCUUCAAUGUUGGCUCUUCCUAUCACUGUGAAGAAUUCAACAAGCUUUGGAUUUUUCACCCACUAAUAAGGAACGUCAGCUGUGUUUAUGCCGUCAUGAGACAGGUUAGUUUUACCCUGCUGAUGAUGU